AGCAAAAGCGUUCACUGUGUCACUCAAAUGGGAUAUCCAGUAAUCUGGCGGAUAGAAGACAUUUACUACCCUGUUAUUUCAGCCGCUGGAAUUCCCGUUCCAGUUCCGUCUCACUGAUAUCUGUCCAGCAAACGAUCAGCGUUAUGCAACACCGCAUGGUUUGUCCAUAAAGCAACAAAGUCUUUUUUUCACAAUUAUGUCGGCUGGGAGAGACAAUAAGUAGAUAAUCGGCACUUUAUAAAAUUAUACUUUACUCUGGCAACUGGACAGCGC